AAGGAGAAAUUGGUGGUGAAUGCAGUCAGUCAUUUCCCUGAUGCAGCCCAGUGUGUCUACAGAGAACAAAGUCCUGCUUUCCAGCUCAGACGAAAUGAGAUUCUGGGUGACCUGUGUUUUGGGCUAUGGCUUCAUUCCCCUUGUUCCAGAUAGAAGCAUAACUGCUGCUACACUUAUGCAGACUCCACCCACGAUUUGUACAAGUGCAGCUGCAAGAGCAGCCCGGUUACGUACUUCACUACGGUGCAGCCAAGCAGGAGGUGUAAUGAUGUUUCACCAGAAGCCAGUGUAUAUGCCAGCAGAAAUGAGCAAGAGGACCCUGAGGCGUGCCCAUAGUACAGCUCAAAAGCAGCUUAUGCGAUGGCCUCGUAAUAUUACAGGCACCCUUUGCCAGAUGAAGGCUGCAGUUGCACUGACAUAUACUGCAGAUGGAAAAUAAACAUCUGCCUCAAUCAAGAGAGAAGACCAAAGACAAGGUUGACGAAUAUUAUCUGGCAUGACUAUCUUUGCAGGAAAGCAUAUAAAUGCUACAGGACCAAAACCACUGGCAUCGUCUGGUGUUGUCCUUAUGUGGUUACUGACCAUGAAGAGAGAUGAUUAGUAUGCACUCUCCAAGGAGGAGUAGUGCAGAUGCUCAGAAUGAUAUGAUUCCAACUCACUAGUAUGUGUUUUGCUAUAGCCCUACUACGCUAGCAACAGAGCAGUUUGAUAUAUUUUUUUCUCGGUGGUUCAAUGACAUUUUGUAUCCUCAAAUGUUCUUUUGUCUUUUCGGGGGGGAAGAAGAGGAGGCU
rnacentral:lncRNA from 1 species